CCAGACUCCUACGGGAGGCAGCAGUGAGGAAUAUUGGUCAAUGGUCGGGAGACUGAACCAGCCAAGCCGCGUGAGGGAGGAAGGUACAGAGUAUCGUAAACCUCUUUUGUCAGGGAACAAAGGCGGGGACGUGUCCCCGGAUGAGUGUACCUGAAGAAAAAGCAUCGGCUAACUCCGUGCCAGCAGCCGCGGUAAUACGGAGGAUGCGAGCGUUAUCCGGAUUUAUUGGGUUUAAAGGGUGCGUAGGCGGAGGGUUAAGUCAGCGGUCAAAUGUCGGUGCUCAACACCGGCCUGCCGUUGAAACUGGUCUUCUUGAGUGAGCGAGAAGUAUGCGGAAUGCGUGGUGUAGCGGUGAAAUGCAUAGAUAUCACGCAGAACUCCGAUUGCGAAGGCAGCAUACCGGCGCUCAACUGACGCUCAUGCACGAAAGUGUGGGUAUCGAACAGGAUUAGAUACCCGAGUAGAC
rnacentral:rRNA from 1 species